rnacentral:rRNA from 1 species
UACGUAGGGUGCGAGCGUUAAUCGGAAUUACUGGGCGUAAAGCGUGCGCAGGCGGUUCGUUGUGUCGGUGGUGAAAUCCCCGGGCUUAACCUGGGAAUGGCAUUGGUGACUGCACGGCUAGAGUGUGUCAGAGGGGGGUAGAAUUCCACGUGUAGCAGUGAAAUGCGUAGAGAUGUGGAGGAACACCGAUGGCGAAGGCAGCCCCCUGGGAUAACACUGACGCUCAUGCACGAAAGCGUGGGGAGCAAACAGG